rnacentral:rRNA from 14 species
UUAAGUUACUAAGGGCGUAUGGGGGAUGCCUUGGGUUUCAGAGGCGAUGAAGGACGUGACCAGCUGCGAUAAGCUACGGGGAGCUGCUGAUAAGCUUUGAUCCGUAGAUUUCCGAAUGGGGAAACCCAUCCCACUUGUGGGAUAUCUGCACCUGAAUAAAAUAGGGUGUAGAGGCGAACCCGGGGAACUGAAAUAUCUAAGUACCCGGAGGAAAAGAAAUCAACCGAGAUUCCCUAAGUAGCGGCGAG